UGAAUUCUCACUCUAACAAGGGUCAAUUCUGAAAAGAAAGAGAGAUGACCGAUUUUUAUUUCCCUAACUCUUUCCAGAUGUGUCUUUCUCUGUCUCUGACUCUUUUUUUGCCUCUGUCUCUUUCUCUCUCAGCAUAGGUGAUGGGUACUUUCAGGCAGGAGUAGCUACUGUAAGCUAAGUUCCUCUAAAUGCAGUAGUGGAGAAGAACUCAAGACUCUGCGUGGCAAGAUACUUGCUUUGCGAGCCAGUUGUGUCUUGGUUCCCAGGAGACAGUUGAGACAACGUUCCCAAGGCUUCAAAGAGGAGUGUGCAGAAAGCCUCUGUCCCCAGCGCUGUGGGAAAUCCUCCGCUGUCAGUCCCCCCUGCUCUGUCCAGUGUUCUGCGUUCUACACAAGCAAUUCUCAGCACAAUGCCGCCAGAAUAAAGGAGCCAGUGAAACGGGCUGCCAAGGUUCUGCUGUCCACACCCAACUGCUGCUUCUGAGCUCCACCGUUCACAGACUGCUUUAGCUCUUGCUCAAAGAAAAGAAAAGAGAAGUAAAACCCAAGCUUACAGCAGUGGUGAGACUGUCCCGAGGGAGUCCUCAGAGACUGUGCUGAGCCAUAACCUGUUCUGACAAGACCAUCGGCUUCCAGGGCAGAGAUGACCUCGUUGUAAAAAGUUGAAAGAACAGCAUUGAACCAGCUUUAUUUGGAGGAACUUACCUGGCACAAUCACAUAUAAACAUACAUUUACAUUUUUAGUCCCUUUAUCAUUAUUAAUCAAAAACAUUACUGCUUCUGUUGAGCUGGACCUCCAUCUAAUUGACACAGGUUUGCAUGACAGGAAUAUUUCCCUCAACUGUUACAAAUUCUACAGUUGCUGACAAUUCAAUUCUGAAAUGAGUCAUGGCUCAGCAGUGGCAGGUUGUUUUUAAAGCUAAUCUGUAGGGAUAUGAAAAAAUCCAGGGGAUCUCAAGGUUGUGGACCUGCUGCUGUUUUGCAAAUGCUACAGGGUUGGCCCUCUGAUCCCUUGGCCUCUUCAUUUUCAGGCUGAAACAAC
rnacentral:lncRNA from 1 species